GACGAACGCUGGCGGCGUGCUUAACACAUGCAAGUCGAACGGAAAGGCCCUGCUUUUGUGGGGUGCUCGAGUGGCGAACGGGUGAGUAACACGUGAGUAACCUGCCCUUGACUUUGGGAUAACUUCAGGAAACUGGGGCUAAUACCGGAUAGGAGCUCCUGCUGCAUGGUGGGGGUUGGAAAGUUUCGGCGGUUGGGGAUGGACUCGCGGCUUAUCAGCUUGUUGGUGGGGUAGUGGCUUACCAAGGCUUUGACGGGUAGCCGGCCUGAGAGGGUGACCGGCCACAUGGGGACUGAGAUACGGCCCAGACUCCUACGGGAGGCAGCAGUGGGGAAUAUUGCACAAUGGGCGGAAGCCUGAUGCAGCAACGCCGCGUGCGGGAUGACGGCCUUCGGGGUGUAAACCGCUUUCGCCUGCGACGAAGCGUGAGUGACGGUAAUGGGUAAAGAAGCACCGGCUAACUACGUG
rnacentral:rRNA from 1 species